UAAGGAAUAUUGCUCAAUGGGAGAAAUCCUGAAGCAGCAACGCCGCGUGGAGGAUGAAGGGUCUAUGACUUGUAAACUCCUGUAAAGAAGGAAAAAAUUCCCAUUAGAUGGGAGAUGAUGGUACUUCUGGAGUAAGCCCCGGCUAACUACGUGCCAGCAGCCGCGGUAAUACGUAGGGGGCAAGCGUUGUCCGGAUUUACUGGGUGUAAAGGGUGCUCAGGCGGAUUUGUAAGUCAGAGGUGAAAUCUUACAGCUUAACUGUGAAACUGCCUUUGAUACUGCAAGCCUAGAGUAUGGAAGAGAGUGAUGGAAUAUCUGGUGUAGCAGUGAAAUGCGUAGAUAUCAGAUAGAACACCAAUGGCGAAGGCAGUCACUUGGUCCAUUACUGACGCUAAAGCACGAAAGCGUGGGUAGCAA
rnacentral:rRNA from 1 species